UAGCUCAGUGGUAGAGUGUAGGGCUUGUAUGCCUGAGACCCAGGGUUAGAUCCCUG
rnacentral:tRNA from 1 species